rnacentral:rRNA from 1 species
GAUGAACGCUGGCGGCGUGCCUAAUACAUGCAAGUCGAGCGAGCGGCGGACGGGUGAGUAAUGUCUGGGAAACUGCCCGAUGGAGGGGGAUAAAUACUGGAAACGGUAGAUAAUACCGCAUACCAUCGGAUGUGCCCAGAUGGGAGUAGCUAGUAGGUGGGGUAACGGCUAACCUAGGCGACGAUCCCUAGCUGGUCUGCGAGGAUGACCAGCCACCCUGGACGUGAGACACGGUCCAGACUCCUACGGGAGGCAGCAGGGGUGAAUAUUGCACAAUGGGCGCAAGCCGGCUGCAGCCAUGCCGCGUGUAUGAAGAAGGCCUUCGGGUUGUAAAGUACUUUCAGCGAGGAGGCGUUACGCGCAGAAGAAGCACCGGCUAACUCCGUGCCAGCAGCCGCGGUAAUAC